CACUAGCCCUGAUAGUAGCGGCAUCCUUUAUAGCCGGGGUUCGGCUGUAAAGAUAUAGCGGAUAGCAGGAAACAGC
rnacentral:sRNA from 1 species